GCGAAAGCAUUUGCCAAGAAUGUUUUCAUUAAUCAAGAACGAAAGUUAGAGGUUCGAAGGCGAUCAGAUACCGCCCUAGUUCUAACCAUAAACGAUGCCAACUAGCGAUCAGCCUGAGUUCUUCAAAUGACUCGGCUGGCAGCUUCCGGGAAACCAAAGUUUUUGGGUUCCGGGGGAAGU
rnacentral:rRNA from 1 species